rnacentral:rRNA from 1 species
UACAGAGGUCCCAAGCGUUGUUCGGAUUCACUGGGCGUAAAGGGUGCGUAGGUGGUGAGGUAAGUCGGAUGUGAAAGCUCCGAGCUCAACUCGGAAAUGGCAUUGGAAACUACCUUGCUGGAGGGUUUGAGGGGGGACUGGAAUACUUGGUGUAGCAGUGAAAUGCGUAGAUAUCAAGUAGAACACCAGUGGCGAAGGCGAGUCCCUGGAAAACACCUGACACUGAGGCACGAAAGCUAGGGGAGCAGACAGG